rnacentral:rRNA from 1 species
AUUUCCCGCUUUCUGCAUUCCUAACACAUGCAAGUCGAACGAGUGGCGGACGGGUGAGUAAUGUCUGGGAAACUGCCCGAUGGAGGGGGAUAACUACUGGAAACGGUAGCUAAUACCGCAUACCAUCGGAUGUGCCCAGAUGGGAGUAGCUUGUAGGUGAUGUCACGGCGCACCUAGGCGACGAUCCCUAGCUGGUCUGAGAGGAUGACCAGCCACAAUGGAACUGGGAAACGGGCCAGACUCCUACGGGAGGCAGCAGGGGGGAAUAUGGCACAAUGGGGGCAAUCCUGAUGCAGCCAUGCCGCGUGUAUGAAGAAGGCCUUCGGGUUGUAAAGUACUUUCAGCGGGGAGGCGUUACCCGCAGAAGAAGCACCGGCUAACUCCGUGCCAGCAGCCGCGGGAAUAC